CUGAGAGCUCCCAGACAUCCAGGUUAGUUGACUCUGUUGGUCUUCCUGUGGGGUUCCCAUGCCCUUCAGGGCCUUCAGUUCUCCCAACACUUCCAUAGGAGACCCUGAGAAGAAGCCAUAUUUGUGAAAAUUCCUCCCAGGGAUGGGGAACAGGUGAAGCCUCCAGAGAUGGAUUUGAGCAAGAAGCAAACAUCAUGUCUGCUGAGUGGGUCAAGCAGAGGCACCUCAGCUCUCCCAAGCCCAUCCCCAGGUUAUCUGCAACAGAGAGCCCCCUUUCCCUGUGCCCUGCUUUCUGGCCUUCUGUCUCAGUGCUUAGUGAGCCUCCGCUGAGUGGAGACCCCUGGAGGUAGGUUGGGGUUACUGGCUGCCCUGGGUCCUCAGUGAGGAAGUGUGGGCAGGCCCUCUCAGGUGCAAGCCAGCUCCUAUUGUCUCUGACUGCAGCUGGUCUGGAGAUGUGAGAGAGCCUUUGGGUGAGCAGAGCUCCUCCUUGUCACCUUCAGCAGCAGGGAACAUGAGGGGAACAGGACUGAAGGCGACCAGCUGAGAGGUCUGUUGCCAACUCCCUAUCUUUUCUCCUUUCCUCUUCAUGUUUAACAACAUCUAUUGACGAACUCGAGAAGCCUUGUAUUUCCUCACCCCUGUCUUCCUAAAUAUAGUUUUAGCUUAGUAAUCACAAUCUCUGUCUCUCCUCUGUCUCUCUGUCUCUGUCUCUCUCUCAUAUGUUUGGAAGCCCCCACCCAGGCUCUUUCCUCCUUCCACUGGGCCCGCCCCACUGCUGGCAACCUUCCUAGGAUAAUUUUAGGGAGUCACAGGGGUCUGAGCCCCAUCCUUAAGGAAGCUCCCUAGGGAUGGGCCUCCGGGUGUGAAGAGCUUCCCUUGGCCGUCACCCUGACGCCAGUCAGGCAGAGUUCUGAGCUCUAGGCAUGGGAUUCAGGCCUGUGGCCUGCAGAACCUCAUCCUUCCGGACACUGGGAUUCACUCACAGACAUGGCCUCCUGUAGAGGCCGUGUCUGGUCCCUGCUGCUUUUACCCCACCCUGCUGGCCUCAGCACUUCAGCAUUUCACUGCCCUUUGACCUGGCCACCCCAUGCCAGUGUCCCUGAGGCUAUUUGCAUGGGAGACCAAUAACCCAGAGGAUGGAGGAGAAAAGGAUGUCUAUAGAUUCCACAGCUUAGGCCUGGAGCUACCCAAGCUGGAAGGCAGCUAGGACCUCCAAGGUCCCAAACUCACAGACUUAAAAGACCCCAGUAAUCUGAGCUUUGGUCCAUAGUUACUCUGUAUGUAUGUGUAGUGAGAGUAUGUUUGUUUCAGUCUCAGGUGUGGGACAUGGGCCUGCUUCAGAUCAUCCACAGCAGCUGGCUAUGAUUUGUCUCAUGCUAUGGUAGGGUCGUGAUUCUGCCAAUUUGAGGAUAGUUUAUGUUUGGAAUUCUGGGGACUCUUUAGAGGGUAUAAAAUGCCAAUGCCCGAAGAGGUGGGGAGGUUACCGCUGGUUGUUGCUGCUUGCUUGAUGGUUGGGAGAUAUUCUGAUGAAGAUCAAACUUGCCCAAGGGAACUCGAUGCCCCUAAUCAGCAGGAAGUAGUCUAAUGAUAUUGGUGCUUCUAACCUUUCUAACCUUUCUCUCCUACCUAGUGUUGGAGGUUGGAAGGGAAUAGGGGUGGUGCAGGGAGGUAGGAAAAAGAACCUAAUAAACAGCCCAAAACAAGUCCACCUACAUAUACGCUCCUGAUUGAGUGAGUUGCAAUAGAAGCAAAGGUCUCAAAGGACAGAAUGGUACCACGGCUGAUAGCCAGUGUAAAACAUUCUUAGCUUUUGUUCUUUUUACCAGAAAGUUUGAUCUUUGACUCCUUGCUGUUGGUGCAUGGGUUCAAGGCCAGCCUGUCUCUAGUCUUUCCUGGGAACAGCCUUAGCUCUGGAAGCUACUGGGUUGGGGCUGAGCAGAGUGUUGGAGCUGUGCUCAUUUCUUAGCUGGCUUGCUCUGUGACCUCAGAGGAGUUACUCAGCGUGACUCUUGUGCUAGUAUUUGAGACAUGAGGUGGCUGCGGUACCUUUACCCUGAGGGCCACCAUAAAGAAUAUGAGGAGCUUGGUUCAGAUAUGUCUGUCUGGACGCUGCAUCUGGCUCAGUUGCCAUCCCUAGGCAGGAUGUGGAGAAGACAGCACAGCCUGGGGCUGGGGUUCAGAAGGGCAACACUAGGGUCGAACCUUGGGUUGGGGAUGUCCUGACUAAGUGGAGGCUGGGUCUGAAAUGGGACAAGGUGGGAAGCAGGCUGUCUCCAAACCCCACCCCUGGGCUCUGGUUAACUCCAGUCUUGCCACCUCUUCCCUGUAUUAUUCACCAGUCAUUACCCUACAUGUGACAGCUGUUGUCAUGACGACACAUUUCCCAUCCUCAGAUAAAAGCCCUGCUUUGCAGGGGGAUCAGGCUGCCUCUGGCUCCCCAGACUCCAUCACUGUCCCUGCAGCACCUCAGGGUCCCCUAGCAAACCCUUCUUCCUAUUUGGGUCUCUUGACUGGGUCAUUCCCGUCUUCCUCAUUUCUCAGGGAAGCUUAGUCACGUCUAUCUUUUCUCACUGUGUCCAGAACUCUCCCCUCCCCCACCUUCCUCUUCCCCCUCUCUCUGGACUCUGAGCCAGAUUCUCUCUUGCUCUGUUGCCUGUUUCCCAUUCAUGGGCACAGCAGGGUAACAGGAAAGUGGGUGGUGGGAAUGGGAGGGCCUCCAGCUAUUAUGGGAUGCACACACAUGUGCGUGUAUACACAUGUAUGUGCGCAUACAUAUACACAUCCAUGUGUGACCGGGAAGACAGAAAGGCCUGAAGAAAUGUGGCCCAAGCCGCUGGCUGCCCUUACAGCAGUUGAAGCACCGGUACAACCCCACGUAGCCUCAGCUCUGAUGAUCCUAAGGGGCCUUGCACAGUUCCCUGGUGCUGACUCUGUUCCUUAAGGGCACUGACUGAGGAAGCCUGCCAAGGCUCCAGGAGGUGAAUGGCAAAAUUCCAUUUUUGCAGGCUAGGAAAUUAGGGAUCAGAAAGGUCAAACAACUCACUCGAAGCCACACAGCUGGCCAAUCGAGGAGGCAGGAUUUGAAAUUCCAUCCCAUCGCUGAUCUCCAUAACCAUGGUGCUGUCAUCAUAGCAACACUGUUUACAGAGUGCUCACCCUGCAUCAGACAGUGCGUUUAGCAGCAUGUGGAGCAAUCUAGCCUGCUGGGCCCUGAACACCUAUCUGUUCCACCAGUGUGGGAACUGGGGCGCAGGAAGGUUAAGUCACUUCCUCAAGAUCACACUGGAGUCAAGGCAGUGCUAGGAUUUAAAACCAACCCCUCUCUGCCUUUUAACCUUCAGUGCUGCAUCUGAGAGACCCUCUGUAAUGUCCCUGUGGUUCCAGUUUAGGCCAGUUUGGGGACCAUGGAGAAGAGGCCAUGUGUCUUCUUUCUCAGGUUCCAGGUCAUUAAGAAAAUCCUACAAAUUCUACAGCAGCAGUAUCCCCUGGUAGCCCCAGCAACCCAGGGCUCCUGCUGCUGACACGGCACCCAGGAAGAGCAAGAAAGAGGGUGGAGGUGUGGCUGGGAAGCCUGGUGGGGUCUGCCUUCUGCUGAGUGUCCCUAGAUCUUCUUGCCUGUUACACAGUCCCUAGAGAGCAGCCCAGGCCUCGGAACACAUUGUCCCAGAAGUGCUGCUGUCGGGAUGAUGAAGGGGCCAGUUAUUUUUAACAGCCAAGACUCAUGGACAGAAGCCUCUUCCAAGCCAGGGACACUAGGGAGGGUAGGGACCACAGACUCCAGGUCUUACUCUCUGCUCUCCCUCUCCCUCCUUGCUACUGAGGACAAUCUUGGCUUGGUGAUACCUUGGGCAGGGUGGGGCUGCUACCUGGCUGUCAACCCUUCUCAGGGCCUAGAGUAAUGAUGGCCUCAGAUAUGAGCCCUAUCCCUCUCUAGAGGCUGCAGGUACAGAGGCUGAUCAGGGCCAGUGGCCAAGCUAGGAGGUCAAGGGGCAGAGGCCUGGCCUGCUCUGGCUAGCCACAUGGCCCCUUGUCUUUGUAGGUCUUUCUGCCCACUUGGAAGAAAGCAGGUGGCUCUCCAGUUACCUAAGGCCUUUCAUGAAACUCCUGUAUCUCAGGUGAUGAGGGUAUACACAUCAGGGCCUCAGGUGCUUCCCGUACCCCUGGACUUUGUUGGUUCUAAUACCCCAGAGUCUGUGACCUGGUAAGCCAGGCGCUAUGCUAAGCACUCAGCUUCCUUCCUAUGUCCUCUAAGGUGGCUGGCCUUACCCAUCUGUGUGGUGUCAGAGGGACCCUCUUCUGUCUUUCUGGGUCCCACUAGGACUUUGAAAAGACACAGCAUCCGUGUAUUAGUUACUUGCAUGCAGCGGUGCCCACAUUUUGACAGAAGUAACUUAGGGAAGUUUAUGUCUGUCAUGGUGAGGAGGAGGACAUGGUAGAACAGAGUACUGACAUAACAUACAUACGUUAUGGCAAGUCAUGAACCAGAGAGAGGGGAAUGCUGGGUAGAAUCACCAUUUUCUCCCCUCUCUCUCUUCUCUGCCUUUCCUUUCUCCCACCUUCUUCCUCCUUAUUUCUUCUUCCUUCCUCCUCCCCCUCCGUUUUCUUCUUUUUGGAGACAGGGUCUCUCUAUAGUCCUGGCUGGCUAUGGCUAGGUUGAGUUAAUUUCCCAUUGUGGUGGUGUGAAUGAGAAAUGCCCCCUCAGGAGCAUGUGUCUGAACUCGUGGUCACCUAUGGGUCGUGCUCUUUGGCGAGGUUAUGGAACUUUCAGGGCCAGGGGCCUUGCUGGAGGAAGUAUGCCCACAAGGCUUUGAGAAUGUAUGGCUUCAGUCUUGGUUUGCUCUUUCUGCUUCUUGCUCCCACUUCCGUGCCUUCCCCACCAUUCUGGACAUCUAGUCCUCUUGAACCUUAAGACAAAUUCUUAAGUUACUCUGGGUCAUGGUAUUUAUUACUUUAUUACAGAACAAAACUCACUAAUAUGUUCAUAGAGGGAACAUCAUUCUGACAUCUCUCACCUCUGAUUACUUUUGCCUGUUGUAGAACUUUAGACACAAAAAUACAAACAUACUCUUUGAAUAUGGCUUCCUUUCUUUCACUAUUCUUUUUUUUUUUUUUUCCUUUCCGAGACAGGGUUUCUCUGUGUAGUCCUGGCUGUCCUGGAACUCACUCUGUAGACCAGGCUGGCCUCAAACUCAGAGAUCUGCCUGCCUCUGCCUCCCGAGUACUGGGACUAAAGGCAUGCGCCACCACGUCCGGCUCUUUCACUAUUCUAACUGGAUGAGUUACUCAUAUUGUAUCAGUAUUAAUUAAUUGUUGUUCAUUCUGAAUAGUAUUUCAUUGUAUAGACAUACCACAAUUUAUCCAUCCUCUAUUGAUGGACAUUUGUAUUACUUCUGGUUUGGGGCAACUAUGAAUAAAGUCAGUAUUUAUGCCUGUUGAUAUACCUUUUAGAGACACACAUACUUAGUUCUUUUGGGUAAAUGCACAGAAGUGAAAUUACUCAGUCAUAAAACAGGUGGAUGUUUACUUUUAGUAGAUAUUUCUGGUUUUCCAGAAUUAUUUUCUCAAUUAACACUUCCUUGGCAGGGUGUGAGUUUUAGUAGCUCCUCGUCCUUCUCCGUGUUAACCGUUCCUUUUGUCAUUACCUAGUUUGGAGGUAUGUUUAAUAUCUUUUGUGGCAGGGAAGAUACUUUUCAAUUGUUUUCACUGUAAAACAACAUUAUCUUAACUAUUUCCGUGUGUAUGUAUGUACUCACAUGCAUAUGUAUGUAUGUGUUCAUUUGCACGUGUGUGUGUGUUCAUAUAGAGAGGCCAGUGGUCUAUGUAAUGCAUGGCUCUCCAUCUUUGAGACCUGCUCUCCCACUGAACCCAGAGCUAAUGGUAUGGCUAGACUAGCUGAGCUCUAAGAAUCAAUCUAUAUCCAUCCCCAGACUACAAAUCCCUCUAUCUUAAAAUGUUUAAAUAAUCAACAAUAUUAAACAGACUAAUGUACCAUCCUUUUUUUCUGUGCUCUGUUUUGUUCUUCAAGAUAAUUCUGUGUAGCCCUGGCUGGUCUGGAACUCACUCUAUAGAACAGACUGGCCUCAAACUCAGAGAUCUGCACCUGGGUGCUGGGAUUAAAGGUGUGUACCAUCGCUGCCUGGCAACGUGUCAUCUUCUAAUAAUGUCCAUCUUCAGACACCUUUUCUAUUUGCAAAACUGAAAUGUUAGCCAUCAAAUACUGGCUCCCAUCCCUUCCAUCCCCACCAUCCCCACUACUUCAGGAACUCGAUGUAAGUAAAGUCAUACAGCAUUUGUUUUCUCGUAA